rnacentral:lncRNA from 1 species
UUCUGUUCUCAUGAAUCUUCAAGUUCUGCAGGUCAAAAGAUUCAAAAGUGAGCAAUAAUUGACAUAUAUAAAAUAUAAAUAAGUAAUACUUCAAAGUUCUAAGACACUAUCAUACAAACCACAGCUCUGCCAGCUACAAAGUGCAGUAAAAAUCAACAAACCUCUGUCUGAAAUAACAGCAGUAAGUACUCCAUUCCUCUAAAAACUCCAGAAUGGGAUUUGCUGCCGAGUCAAUAUAAACACUGAAGAUGACUGUGGCAGGAAGAACUCUCCACAAAAGAAUAGACUGAAGACUAAAGAAUGCAUCUUUCGUGUAUUUCUAACUGGUAACAGGAUGUCCAAGAGACUAUUUUUCUUUAAUUACUCUGCCCUAAAAAAAAAUGAAAUCUGACCCCAAAUUAAAAGGUUAUAUAUCACUUAAAGUUUAAAACAAAUAUUUCUUCCAAAAUCAAUCAGAGUUCUAGCGAAAAGAAAUAAAAACUGUCCAAAAUUAGCAACAGUUAGCAAGAUUGAUUUCUAUUAGCUAGACAAUAUUGAAAAGUUAGAGAGUCGCAGCUAUGCCUCCAAUGAAAAUUGACUCUCAAACGUACCGAGAAUCAUCGUUCCGAACCGAUACGGGCAAGCCUGUACUGAAAUCGCGCCUCAAGAGGCUCUUCGAUAGGCAGUUUCCUACUUUUCUGCGGAUUUCGUCGGUGGAGAAACUAACCGCAGCCGGUGAAGCGCAGUACGGAAAGGAUGG